CUCCACUGGCUUGGUCGGCAUCGUGGGGGCAAGCCCCACAUGGCUCUUGGUCGGGGUGGGCAUUUAAGAUGAGUAACAUGCUUUAGGGUGACCCUCUUGUGUUCUCAGCUGGGCACUUUCAAACUAUCCUUGUAGGAGAGGUGGGGUAUUGGCACCAGGCAUUCUUCCAAGCGAUUCCAAAAGCGUUCAAAUAUUGCCUCCAGUAAUGCCAGGGCCCUGCUGGUAUGUGCAAAUAGCCCUAUGUCUCCAUAGACCAUGCUUGAUGGGAGAGUACCCGUGUCCAAUGGUUCAGGCAUGUCAGACUUCACAUGAUGUCUGCCCUCGGCGGCCAUCUUAGGACACACACAGCUGGAGUUCAGUGUUAUGGGUCCGUCUGAUAUUAUGGCCAUGUGUAGUUCGGCACUCCAGUGGGGACUGGUAUAUCCCUCACCAGUCUAGAGGGGGUGGGACUGUGGAAUAUAAUGCU